UUCUCCAAAGAACAUGGGAGUGUUGCUAAGUGCCUAUGUGACCAGCACAGUUGGUUCCAGUGGAACUCUGGGGUACCAGAUAUUCUUAUUGUGACUCACACAGUCCAACCAUCUUCUCCAAGACCAUGGUGGCAAUGGGAGCAGUCAGCUUGUUGGGCCCUAAGUCCUUCAUCCUUUAUGAAAAACGUUUCUUACAAGAUUUCACAAACUAGUCUGUAACAGUGCUAACUUAUGGCUGACUAAUCUUGUUUUAUUUUCCUUCUGGAUAAGGUCGAAAUCAUCUUUAUUCCUCAUGUCUGAGUUUGAGGACAGCCUAGUCUACAAAGGAGUUCUGGGACACUCACUUGCUAAACAAAGAUGUAUUGGCGUGUGGGGGAACGAAUACCAUGAAGGAAGCCUGGGAAGACAAAGAGACAGCUACAUACCCAGGGGAACUGGACUUCAACUUAUACAAUUGGAAGGGAUCCCACAUUAGCAGUUUGCUUUACUAGAUGGAGAUGGUAAUACCCAUGUGAGGGACAAUAGAGGAACAGUUUUGUUCCUCAUAACUGUAAGCAGGACUGCAAGCAGCUGAACCUCUAGGACAGGGACAAAGCAAGUGACCCAGAGAAAGAGGAAGAAAAAGACACAGGGAGGUAAACCACAGCAGCCUGCAUCAGUCAAGAACUGCACAUAGGAAAUGAAGAAAUGAUGGACUCUCAGCUUAGAUAUGAGAGGAGGAAACUGGAAGAAAUCAGGGAAGACCAGAAGAAAGCAUCAUCAGAUCAUGGCAGAAUCUAACACAAACUACUAUCCAAAAAGAGUAGAAAUUUGCUGCAAAUAGGCAGAGUAUUCAAGCAAGGGAAAGAGGACAAUUCUUCCUCACAUAGUAAAUGCAAACAAUUAAUCACCAAAAUAUAACAUCUUUAACAAGAGUAUGCUAGGGGAAAAAAGUUUAAAUUAGACAUAGAAUGGGUCAGCAGAAGGGAAGCACAUGUAGUCAGCAAAGUGAUGAGUGCAUGGAUGUGCCAUGGUGCUCACUGGAAGACGUGAAAUGAACCACAGAAAGUAUUUCUCAUGUGUACCAAGUAUGUUUAAAUGUUUUCUGACACAGACUAAAGUAGUCUACAUUAACCUUGAACUUGCUGUGAUGCAGGGGAUGUCACCUUUCCCCUCACAAAUGCAGAGAUGACAGGGAUGUGCCUCAGAAUAGGCUCAAGUUUCUUUUCUAUCACAGUUCUGUUUACUUCAAAUCACAUGAAUACACACAGGUCUGUGAUUUCUCCCUCAGCCUGCUGACCUGACACAAAAGAGUUCAUAUGAGUUUUCCACUGGACCCUAGUACCCUGCUCAUAAACUUUCUCAAGCCCAAGAACUGAUCAAGUCAUGUCGACACAAUCAUGGUAUGCCAAGUAGAUAUCGUGUCUUUUUUUCAAUUACUCAACCCUAAGUUAUGGACAGAGAACCUAACAAAGGUUUAUGCAAACCCAGUCCUCAUGGUGAAACCAGGAGUCAGGUUCUGCUGCUUUUUAGAGUUCCCUGUGUGUGUGUAUGACAUGUGUUUUCUCACCCAUAGUCAAAGAUUUUCUAUGCCUUCCAAUUCUUGCAGAUCUCCCUGUUUUUCCCACCUUCUACCUGUUGUGCCUUGGAUUUUUUUCACUCUUUUAAUUCUUUAACUGACAGAGAAAAUGAACAUAAUCAAGACCGUUGCAAUACACGAGCUGCAGAGUACAGGGGAACCAGAAACUCCAUUUGCUCUACCUGAGGAAUCUGACAGCAUCCAUGUGAGAACUGGGCAGCUGGCAGAGCAUGGUUCCCAGCAAAGCUACUCAAAGAAUUCCCAGCACUACCUCAGUUGCAAGUAGUCAUCUUACCAUCAUUAGCUUGCAAUCCUGGCCCCUGCACUCUUUUCUACUCCUGCCCUACUAGACUGCUCCAGUGUCCUAGAAGCCCAAGGCAUACUCCGACCCCAUUGGGAGUCCUAAGGAAACCAUAACCCAGGACACAAUCCCAACCACCCUGUUCCCAAUCCGGAACUGCAACCUCAAGUGACCCAGCUAGUUCAGCAGAAUAAAUCCCAGAGGCUUUUUCUGCCUUCCAACCGAGCCCAGGUCAGCUCCCUCCCAGACGUCUCCCUCCUUCUCCCCUCCCCACGCCAGUUCCUUGCUCAAAGCACAAGGGUGUGCUGUUUCCUGGACCAACCUCCAUGACAGAGACUACAGCAAUGAACAGCCGCACAGGACUCUCGCAAAACUCUGAGGAAGACACACUUGUACAAAACAAAACCUAAAUUGGGAUUUUGUGGAUGGCUCCUCACGAUGUCACAAUCGCAUGGACUACAUAUCCCAGAAGUCUGUGCGAAGGUAUUCCUGAAGCUGAGUAUCUUAUUUACCAAGUUCUUAGAUUUGUAUCCUUCUCUCUUUUGUCUUCACUAUGGUACUUAGCCUACUUUAAAGCACUUGACUCUAAUGUAGACUCUGUGUUAAUACUCAAUAUUGCAAAUUAAUCAAUAAUAUUGUUCCUCUAUUCUGACACUCUGCAUGAGACAUACGUGGAUCAGUUUCCACCUCUCAAAAACCAGUUUUUGUGUGAAUAUUGAGAUCCAUAUACUGUAGUUAACUUGGUCAGGGAUAGAGUGUAUAGAUCAUUUAACAAAAUUAAAUCUUUCAAUAGUUAAUAUAUUAAGAAAUUCAGUUUUAGUGGGAGCUCUACUACAAUUUUAACAGUCUCCAACUGGUUGCUUGCAAACACAGGUAGAGUAUACCACUAGGAAUGUUUUGUUGUUGUUGUUGUUGUUACUUCCCUUGCUCUCGUUACACAUGGAGGGACACAGCUCCUGAGAUCACACUGAUAUGUGUACUGGCCACUGGCCCCUUAUCCAUUGUUAGAAUUCUCUCUGCAGAGGUCUGAUCUGUCUUACUCAAUUUCCUUUCCCUUCUCUGAUCUGCAAGUGUUCCUAUGUGACAAUAUUUUGAAAGUCAAACCAUCUAUCUGCCUAGAACUUACCCCAGUUCUUCAAAAUCAGGACGGAGAGAUGACUAUUUCUUUAAAAAAAGUAUCAAAUAAGUAUAUUGGAAUUUUACAAUCAAAUGCCUUAAAAUACACAUCAUAGUCUCUGAAUUACCAUGGAAGCCUCUGAGAGUUUCACUUUCAUCUGUUUCUAAACAAGACAAUUCAUUUCUCAACAUGCCCAUAGGCUUUAAUAGUCCCAAGACAGUCAAAGCAAAAAGUCUCUUGACGUUUGUAACUCAUCAAUUGCUUAUCUUAAGGUGUUCACAUGUUCACUACCUCAACAUGUCAUGGACCAGUGGAAACCAACCUAUUCCAAAAGAGAGGAAUAGUAACCUGACAAGGAAGAAUAAGAACAAGUUAGGUAGAAAUUUGCUGUGAAAACCCAACUCCGAAAACAUCACUUGUAUUGUGUCUGUGGUUACUAAAGGCAUUAUUUGGAUGGCAAAGAACAGUGUUCUAAACUUGAUCUAUGUGGUCUGAAGAACAAAUAGCCCAAGUCUAGAUUUUCCUAUGGUUCUAAUAUGAGCUUAUGGUAGAAUUACAAGUCCACUUAGCUGUCACCUGUGUGUUUCAUGAAGUGUGAUCCCACAAGAUUUUGGAAGGGACAAUAUGCACCCUGCCAAUCGCAUGGUGAAGCAUUUCUCUUAACACUGCUGCAAAGCUCCAUGUUGACCUACAUGUUGCACCUCAGAGCCUCCACAUCUAGUACAAUGUGAACAGUGCUGUUUAGUUCUGCUUCUAUCUUGAGAAAGUGUCAGGACCCAAAACAGUUUUCUUUGUCUGUGUGUGCUGAUCCUGGAGAACUUUUCUGGAAGUGGGAUUCAGACCAUGAAGCCCCCACAAUGGGCUUCCAAAUGAAAUCAAAAUUUCAAAUGAAACUGCACUUCCAUAAGAGAGGGACUUCCAUGGAUGUGCUCUUGGCCCAGAACACAUUUAAUGUUGGCUCAGGACAAAGUACCAGGAUUGCCUAUAGUGGAGUUAAUCUCUAUAACAUGUAUAGCAGAUUUCACAAUGUCUAUAACUUUAAUGCCACUGAGAUGUCUUAGAAUGAGAAUGGCACUCUACAGUCUCAUAUAACUGAUGCUUGGGCCCCAACUGGUGAGAAAUAUUUGGGAAGAAUUUGGAGGCGUGACCUUGCCACAAGACAAAUGUCACUGGGAGUAGGCUUUGAGGUUACACAAUAGCAUGUGAUUCCCAUUAUCUGUAUGUGCCUCAAAUGUGGAUCAAGGUGUAAGCUGUCUACUCCUGCUCAGGACCAUGCCUGACUGCCUGCUGCCAUGCUUCCUGCGGAGGAAUGACUCUUCAGCUCUUCAACCACAAGCAGGAAAUCAAACUGCUUUAUGUGUUGCCUCACCACAACUAAUAAUAAGACACUCCGUUCUGUGACUUUCUAAUGCAGAGGAGAACUGUACACUCACCUCAGAUCUGUCUCAGAUAACAGACAUAGCAAAGUCUCUAUCUUAAUGAAUUUACUUCAUGAGUUUACUGGGGUUGCUGACAGGCAUUUGGUUGAGGGAUUAUAACAGGAACAUAGCAAUUUCUGACUGGACUCUGGGUAAGAGCUCAGGAAAGUUGCAUGCUUACAGACCACUCUAAAUCUUGUAGGAUAUUGCAGUGAUGACAGGGGUCUUGCCCCCUGUAGUGCUUACUGUAUAUAUCAGCUUCAUCAGUGAAGCUCCUGUGAGUUUUGUAAAGAACAUUGAAGUCCCUAUCCCUAUCCACUAGCUUACUUUCUUAAGGUUGAUGAGUCCCACCUCCAAAAUGGGAUGGUUCCUUGUAAUGGAGAUUGCUGUUGGACAAGUCACAAACACAUUCAUGAGUGACAGAGCACUGAAUGCUUCUAUUCAACACUGCUUUACUGUUGAAGGACUACUCCUAAAGUGUGGAGACACACAUGUUUAGAGAGGGUUUUCUUUCAUUGAUGAUCUACCACAAAAUUCUCCUAGGGGAAAUUAACAGAAGUUUCUCUCCUGGGUGAUUCAUGAACUCAUCAUGUGAACAAUCAAUACUUCUGCAUAACUCAGUUUGAAAAUCAUCUACCCCACAGCAGCCUGUACCCAAAUCCCAUGGGAGAGAAAGCUGAACUCCCGGAAGUGUGGACAAUACUGAGACCUCAGGACAGACCGCCACUUCUGCCCACUUCUGCCCACAUUCCUGGCCCAAGAGUGCUGGGGACAACAUACGACGACAGGGACCGCCAACAGUCAGCUGAAAUGGAGACAUCUCAGAAGCCCGUGGCAGCUCCUUGUAAAGUAGGUUGGCAUCUGGGACCCUGAGAAGCAGGAGACACAUCCCUCCAGGGGACUCGCCACCUGAAAUAAGAGGCUGCCUGCAGUAGGCCGGGAUGGAGACAUCUCAGUAACCCACAGCAGCUCUUUGUAAAAACUGGUUGUUCCCAUUUCUCCUAACCUUAGCCCUGGACAAAGACUGUAUAGAUUCAUUUGUGCAUGACUGACUUUCAGUUGGCCUUGGUGUACAUAAUUAUUCUAUUAUUUCGGACUUUCCUACUUCUUUUUCCUUCUGUUCUGGUGAAUUCUGUGAAACUAGAUCCUUGAUGUUGUGAUUCUUAAACAAUUGGAAAGUGAGGCAUAGGAGCACAGCACAGCACAGCCCUAAUGGCCCAGGUGUAUGCUGCGUGUUCUCAUCUUGGAAACAAUGUAAUUGUUUGGAACAGUAAUAACUGCACAAUAGUAGUUCCAGAUUAAUGCUUGACUUGAAAGAAACUUUAAAGAAAUUACUAGAAAAUGUAUUAGAGCCAACAUGGGGACCCUAAAAAAGGAAAAAGUUAUUGAAGUUAGGAAUGAAGUUUUAUAUAACAUUUGAGAAGUUGUUCCUAGAUAGUAAAAUUAUAUACUCAUAAACUAGGUCAAAAUACUGGGACUCUUACAAGAGUCAUUGUGUGCAAGGAACAGAAAGCUAGCAGAACCACUGAGUUAACAGUUAACAGUGGUCUGGCAGCUUUGCCUAUGUCAUUUAUCAUUAGAGCUUCACAGGAAAAUGCAAGUAGCUGACCUCUGAGCUUUGAGCUCUGAAGUAUAAUAAGUUAAAAGUUAAAGUUUAAAUAAUUAUAAGUUUACAUUUUGACCACUGGCCUGGGGAUGGGGGAAGCUUGAAACUUUAGGGAACAUUUGUAAUUCUUGGUUCUUUGUGAGACGUGGUUAUUCUUUUGAAUUUGAUUUGGCAAUGAUAAUCAUUGUAUAAUACAAUGUGUUUUUUCUACCUACUUUUGAAUUAUUAAUAACUGGGGCAAGAGAAAGGCUGGAGAGCAUGAAAAGAGCAUGUGAAAAGUGAGUGAAGAGAGAAUGUGAAGAGUGAAUGAGAGAGUGUAUGAGGGAGUGAAUGAGAGAGUGAACCUGAGAACAAAUGUGAGAGCGAGUGAGAGAGCAUGAGAAGACAAUGUAAAGAGUGAGUGAAGAGAGAAUGUGAAGUGUGUGUGAAGAUUGUGUGUGUGAGUGAAAGGAGAGUGCAUGUGGUGUGUGUGAGAUAUAUGUGUGAGGUGUGUAUGAAGAGUGUGUGUGAGAAUGAAAGCAUAAUGAACAGAGGUGUGCAUGAGUAUGGGAGUUCGAGAAAAGAAAACCACAAUAAAAAAGCAGAGUGUGCAAGAGAAUGCAGAGUGUGUCCAGCCUCAAGCUGGAAGAUAGAUAGAUAGAUAGAUAGAUAGAUAGAUAGAUAGAUAGAUAGAUAGAUAGAUAGAUAGACAGAGAGAGACUGUAAGCCUUGAAAUUGCCUGUCAGUUUGUACCCAAAGAGAAGUCUGUGUAUAUUUAUUAUGCACCUUCCAGAUAUCCCUGCUUCCAGUUGAGAAUGCUGAUCCUGUGUCAAGACUGAACCCCAGCACAAGAGGAAACUACAUAGUACUUCUGGAUACAGGAAUAUAGGAGCAGAUAACAGCAGGAACCUGCUGGUUUCUGCCUGCACCCAGAACUGAGCUGAACCAGUGCUACAGCUCCAUGCUGAGGGGGAGAGAUUUACCAAAGAACUCAGAGGAGACCACUACUUUCUGCCCACAUUCCUGACCCAAGAGAAAAUUGCUUAGUGCCAUCUGUGCCUGCUAGGCACAGGGACCUAGGAGCAGUCAGGGGCAGGACCCUUCAGGUUUCUGCCUGCACCGAGAGUUGAAAGACAUUCACCAGGAGCACCUACACACCUCAGAGCAGAGCUCUCUGUUCCCAGAUCUGGCUCAAAGAAAAUAGGUCUACAGGAGUGCUGACAUAAGGCCUACAGGAGGAUCAAGCCACUUUCAGAGACGAGACAGGCUAACACCAGAGACAACCUGAUGGUGAGAGGCAAGUGCAGGAACCUAAGCAACAGAAACCAAGACUACUUGGCAUCAUCAGAGCCCAGUUCUCCCACCAAAGCAAAUAUUGGAUAUCCAAACACAACGGAAGAGCAAGAUUUUGAUUUAAAAUCGCAUUUUAUGAUGAUGAUAGAUGACUUUAAGAAGGGAAUAAAUAACUCCCUUAAAGAAAUACAGGACAGCACAAAUAAACAAAUAGAAGCCCUUAAAGAGGAAACACAAAAUUCCUUUUAAGAAUCCCUAAAACAAUUACAGGAAACAAAAAUGCCAGCCCAAAGAGGUGAAGGAAAUGGACAAAAUGAUCCAGGAUUUAAAAAUGGAAAUAGAAACAAUAAAGAAAGCACAAAGGGAAACAACCCUGGAGAUAAAAAACCUAGGGAAGAGAUAAGGAGUCAUAGAUGCAAGCAUCACUAACAGAAUACAAGAGAUAGAAGAGAGAAUCAGGGGCAGAAGAUCCCAUAGAAAACAUAGACACAGGGGUUGGGGAUUUAGCUCAGUGGUAGAGCGCUUGCCUAGCAAGCGCAAGGCCCUGGGUUCAGUCCCCAGCUCCGAAAAAAAAAAGAAAAGAAAAAAAAAAAAGAAAGAAAGAAAACAUAGACACAACCAUCAAAGAUAUUGUAAAAUGCAAAAAGCUCCUAUUACAAAACAUCCAGGAAAUCCAGGACACAAUGAGAAGAUCAAACCUAAGGAUAACAGGUAUAGAAGAGAGUGAAGAUUCCCAACUUAAAGGGCCAGUAAAUAUAUUCAACAAAAUUAUAGAAGAAAACUUCCCUAACAUAAAGAAAGAGAUGCCCAUAAACAUACAAGAAACCUACAGAACUCCAAAUAGAUUGGAUCAGAAGAGAAAUUCCUCCUGUCUCAUAAUAGUCAGAACACCAAAUGCACAAAACAAAGAAAGAAUUUUAAAACCAGUGAAGGAAAGGGGUCAAAUAACAUAUGAAGGCAGACCUAUCAGAAUUACACCAGACUUCUCAACACAGACUAUGAAAGCCAGAAGAUCCUGGGCAAAUGUCAGAUAGACCCUGAGAGAACAAAAAUGCCAGCCCAGGCUACUAUAUCCAGCAAAACUCUCAAUUAACAUAGAUGGAGAGCCCAAGAUAUUCUAUGACAAAACCAAAUUUACACAAUAUCUUUGUACAAGUCCAGUCCUAUAAAGGAUAAUAGAUGGAAAACUCAUACACAAACUAGGGAAACUACACCCUAAAAAAGCAAGAAAGUAAUCUCCUUGCAAAGAAGUCAAAAGAAGAGGGACACACAAACAGAAUUCCACCCCUAACAACAAAAAUAACAGGAAACAACAGUCACUAGUCCUUAAUAUCUCUUAACGUCAAUGGAGUCAAUUUCCCAAUAAAAAGAAAUACACUAACAGACUGGAUAGGUAAAGAGGACCCAGCAUUUUCCUGCAACAAAAGCCACACCUCAGUGUCAAAAACAGACACCACCUAACAGUAAAAGGGAGGGAAAUUUUUUUCAAGCAAAUGGUCCCAAGAAACAAGCUGGAGUAGCCAUUCUAAUAUCGAAUAAAAUCAACUUUCAACCAUAAGUCAUCAAAAAAGAUAAGGAAGGACACUUCAUAUUCAUGAAAGAAAAAUCCACCAACAUGAGCUUUCCAGCCUAUAUUUAUGCUCCAAAUACAAGGGCAAUUACAUUCAUAAAAGGAACCUCACUAAAGCUCAAAGCACACACUGCACCUCACACAAUAAUAGUAGGACAUUUCAACACCCCACUCUCAUCAAUGGACAUAACAUGGAAAAAAUUAAACAGAGACAUACAAAUCAAAUGGACUUAACAGAUAUUUAUAGAACAUUUCAUCCUAAAACAAAAGAAUAUGCCUUCUUCUCAGCACCUCAUUGUACCUUCUCCAAAACUGACCAUAUAAUCGGUCACAAAACAAGCUUCAACAGAUACAAGAAGACCGAAAUAAUCAAAUGCAUUCUAUCAGAUCACCACGAACUAAGGCUGGUCUUCAAUAACAACAAAAAUGACAGAAAGGGGGGCUGGGGAUUUAGCUCAGUGGUAGAGCGCUUACCUAGGAAGCGCAAGGCCCUGGGUUCGGUCCCCAGCUGCAAAAAAAAAAAAAAAAAAAAAAAAAAAAAAAAAAAAAAGUGGAAUUUGGGCUGGAGAGAUGGCUCAGUGGUUAAGAGCACCCGACUGCUCUUCCAGAGGUCAUGAGUUCAAUUCCCAGCAACCACAUGGUGGCUCACAACCAUCUGUAAAGAGAUCCGAUUCCCUCUUCUGGUGUUAUCUGAAAACAGCGACAGUGUACUUAUAUAUAAUAAAUGAAUAAAUCUUUAAAAAAAAAGAUUUAGUAAAAAAAAAUAAAAAAAAUGACAGAAAGG